AAUAAGGUCACAGUCACAGAUUUGAGAGAUUAGGAUGUGGACAUAUCUUUGGGGGCCCCCAUUCAGCACCCCCCAUGUGUCUUCAGUGGUUUAGGGAGGGUCUUUCCGUGGGGAGACUAUCUGGGGAUUGUGCAAAGCUCUCGACAUAAUGGUUUAGGUUCGGUGGGCACAAUAAGGCAAGGAUCUAGAAGGAGAUUUGAAAAGUACACAGUUGUCUGCCAAGGAAAUGCUUUGACCAGUGGAACAAUCUCGAGUCCCAGAAGGCUUGUUUUUGGGAACUCUACGGUUCAGAUAGAUUGAUUCUGAAGACGUUCCUGAAGCAAAGAAUAAAGUCCUUUACUGCUUUACAGCUGUAGGUGCCUGAGUGAGAAUGCCUAGUUCUCAGCUCCGGUAAUUAAGCUGAUGCUUAGGAAAGCUGGACUCGGAGCUCAAAGGGGCAAGGUGGGGAGCCCCACAGGCAACGGUUAAGAAUCUCACCGCGCUUCUCCAGGGCCCUGAUGAGAAGGCUGGCUUUCGGAUCCCAACUCCCGUGCUCUGUGUGACAUCUUUGCCCUGGCUACCUGCAGACCCAAGGAACUGAUGCUCAGAGCGCAGCAGCAUCUCGGGUAAAGUGUGCAUACGGCAAAACGCACUAGUCUGAAAUGAUACGAUUUGAUGGGUGCUGACAAGUACACACACCUGUGAAAGCCAGACCUUUAUCAAGAUCUAGACCUUUCUAUCACCUGGCUCAUUCUCUCGUGCCCCCUCCCUGGUCAAUCCCUGGAAACAACUGCUGAUUUGCUUUCUGUCACUACAGAUUUGUGUGUUCUAGAAUUCCACGUCCACGGAAUAAAACAGUACAUCCUUU